rnacentral:rRNA from 1 species
CUGGUUGAUCCUGCCAGUUGUCAUAUGCUUCUUUCAAGGACUAAGCCAUGCAAAUGUCAGUGGACUCGGGGUUUCUCGGGGGGACUGUGUACGGCUCAUUAAACGGUUAAUAGUCUACCCAACAACGGGGUGUUCUCGGACACUCCCUACGGGAUAACUGCCCUAACUGGGCAGCUAAUACCUGGAAGAACAAUCCAUGACUGCUCAACCGCCUCUCACGAGGCGGGGUUGUGGAUGCUAUUGGCCGGAACAAGAACUAACGCCUUCACGGGCAGCUGUAAUUGUUGACGCAGGCCAAUGUAGCAGAAGCGCCGUAAGGUGCGGUGUUGGACGAAUUCACCACCUAUCAGGUAGAAGGUAGUGUAGUGGACUACCUUGCCUCUGACGGGUAACGGAGGAUUGGGGUUCGAUUCCGGAGAGGGUGCCUGAGAAAUGGCAACCAUGACUACGGUCAGCAGCAGGCGCGCAAAUUGCCCAAUGCAAAUCUUGCGAGGCAGCGACGAAAAAUAGUAUUUCCUGAGGUUCUACUUCAGGAUGCAAUGGAUUGUAUCUAAUACACACUGCUGAGUAGCUAUUGGUGGGCAAGUCUGGU